UCACAGGUAGCGUGACCUAUUCAAUCAGAAAUCUGGCGCUGCAUCAUUGCUAGAGGUGAUGGCAACAAACUCAAUCACGCUCAUUGCAAGCUUAAGGUGAAACUGACACUCAACGCUACUGUCUGAAUACCGAUGCAGGCGUUCUGCCUGCGGAAGGAUCAUUAACGAGUUUUGAAAUGGGUUGUAGCUGGCCUUACGAAGGCAUGUGCACACCCUGCUCAUCCACUCUCAUACCCCUGUGCACCUAUUGUAGGCUUGGUGGGAAGACUGGUGUCACAACCAGUCGGAAAGCCUUGCCUAUGUUUUAACACAAACGCUUCAGUUUUAGAAUGUCACAUUUGCGUCUAACGCAUGAAAUACAACUUUCAGCAACGGAUCUCUUGGCUCUCGCAUCGAUGAAGAACGCAGCGAAAUGCGAUAAGUAAUGUGAAUUGCAGAAUUCAGUGAAUCAUCGAAUCUUUGAACGCACCUUGCACUCCUUGGUAUUCCGAGGAGUAUGCCUGUUUGAGUGUCAUGGUAUUCUCAACCUCUAAAGCUUUUGCGAUAGAGGCUUGGAUGUGGAGGUCGUGUUGGCGCAAGUCAACUCCUCUGAAAUGCAUUAGUGUGAAUCUUACGGAUCGCCUCCAGUGUGAUAAGUAUCUACGCUGUGGUGUUGAAGUAUAUAGGCAUUCAUGCUUCUAAUCGUCUCUUCAUUGAGACAAUUACUUGACAAUCUGACCUCAAAUCAGGUAGGACUACCCGCUGAACUUAAGCAUAUCAUA
rnacentral:rRNA from 1 species